GACGAACGCUGGCGGCGUGCUUAACACAUGCAAGUCGAACGGCAAGGCCCCUUUGGCGUUACUCUACUGGCGACCGGUUGCGUAACACGUGGGUAACCUUCCCUUUCCUUCUUGACAUCUUCAGUAACCUGGGGCUACUACCGCAUAGGAAUCCUUCCUGCAUGGUGGGGGUUGGAAAGCUUGGGCGGUUUUGGAUGGACUCGCGGCCUAUCGGCUGGUUGGUGGGGUAGUGGCUUACCGAGGCUUCGAGGGGUAGCCGGACUGUGAGGGCGACCGGCCACACUGGGACUGAGAGGAGGCCGAGACGGCGAAGGGUGGCAGAAGGGGGGAAUAUUGCACAAUGGGCGGAGGCCUGAUGCAGCAGCGCCGCGGGCGGGAUGACGGCCUUGGGGUUGUAAACCGCUUUCAGCAGGGGCGAAGCUUGUGGUGACGGUACCUGAAGAAGAAGCACCGGCUAACUACGUG
rnacentral:rRNA from 1 species